UACAGAGGUCUCAAGCGUUGUUCGGAUUCAUUGGGCGUAAAGGGUGCGUAGGUGGCGCCGUAAGUCAGGUGUGAAAUUUCGGAGCUUAACUCCGAAACUGCAUUUGAUACUGCGGUGCUUGAGGACUGGAGAGGAGACUGGAAUUCACGGUGUAGCAGUGAAAUGCGUAGAUAUCGUGAGGAAGACCAGUGGCGAAGGCGGGUCUCUGGACAGUUCCUGACACUGAGGCAGCGAAGGACUAGGGGAGCAAACGGGG
rnacentral:rRNA from 1 species